rnacentral:tRNA from 1 species
GGCAAGAUGUCCGAGUGGUCUAAGGAGUUGGAUUCAAGCGCAUUAGCUUGCCUGUUAUUCAAGGAUGGGUUUCCCAAUAGACGUUUGUCUGCGGGGGUUCGAAUCCCCCUCUUGUCA